rnacentral:rRNA from 1 species
UGGUGGGUAGUUUGACUGGGGCGGUCUCCUCCUAAAGAGUAACGGAGGAGCACGAAGGUUAGCUAAUCCUGGUCGGACAUCAGGAGGUUAGUGCAAAGGCAUAAGCUAGCUUGACUGCGAGAGUGACGGCUCGAGCAGGUGCGAAAGCAGGUCUUAGUGAUCCGGUGGUUCUGAAUGGAAGGGCCAUCGCUCAACGGAUAAAAGGUACUCCGGGGAUAACAGGCUGAUACCGCCCAAGAGUUCAUAUCGACGGCGGUGUUUGGCACCUCGAUGUCGGCUCAUCACAUCCUGGGGCUGAAGUAGGUCCCAAGGGUAUGGCUGUUCGCCAUUUAAAGUGGUACGCGAGCUGGGUUUAGAACGUCGUGAGACAGUUCGGUCCCUAUCUGCCGUGGGCGCUGGAGAAUUGAGGGGGGCUGCUCCUAGUACGAGAGGACCGGAGUGGACGCAUCACUGGUGUUCGGGUUGUCAUGCCAAUGGCAUUGCCCGGUAGCUAAAUGCGGAAGAGAUAAGUGCUGAAAGCAUCUAAGCACGAAACUUGCCCCGAGAUGAGUUCUCCCUGAGACUUUAAGUCUCCUGAAGGAACGUUAAAGA